UUUAUCAAAAAAGAUUCCAUAUCGAAAAUAGUCAUGCGACUCCCAGCUCUCCUCCAAAACUAAAGAUACAAAAAAUGAAAAAAUAAAACCAAACCAAACAAAACAAGAAGAAAAGAAAAGACAUACUGAAAACGAUCAAAUCAGGAUUCACUAAGCCUCGUCGGCAAAAUUAUCAACACAAAAAAUCCUGCUCUUGCAGUGGCUCAGGGCCAUGCAAAACAUGCUCAAAAACGCAAUUAGAUGAUAAAAACCUAACUUCUACACUUUUGCAAACACCAUCAAUGUGAUUAACAUGUCGUGUAGGACGGAUAAUUAAUUGUUUCGUACCACACUUUUAUCCGCAAAUCCAAGUCCAAUUAGCAAGCCUCCUCAUGGCUUAAUUAUAUCCUUAACAACAAAGUCUGCAACAGUACUGCCGUAAAAAUUGUUCAUCACAUGUCGUCAAAAUUUCAACAAGUGCGGCAAAUUUUAUGUACAACGAAGUUUGGUAUUUGGAAAUUUGAGAUAAAGGUGUUACAGCCGCCAUAGCCACUGACGGAUAUGGAAUUUAGCCAGUGACGGACGCAGAAUUUUAAUUUAGGGGAGCGAACAAUCAAACAAUGAGUAAGAAAAAAUUAUCAAAACAAAUGAUGCACGCUAACUUGAUAUCAAAGUUUUAAAACCAAAGUUUAAUAGAUGAUAACUAAACACUAAAUGCUUUUAAUAAUAAGAGACAAAACAUGAAGCAGAAGAUGAAAAUUAACUCAUGGACCAAAAUCGUAUAAACAUUAAUUAAAUUCAAUAAAUAGACAUUAACAGUAUAUAAAUUAAAAAAAUUUAAAAUAUAAAUUUAGAAUAAGAACAAUUGGCAAAUUAAAAAUAAUAAAAAAUCUAAAUCUCAAAUUUAAAAUAAGUGUGUAUGUCUAGAUAAUGAGUGAUUAUGAAUCAAAAUAUAAAGGAAUUAUAAAAAAAAAAAAAUUAGACUUGCCUUGAAAAAAUAGAGUUUUGGGAAGAAUGAAUGUUUGAAAUGAGUUCAACGAACUUCGGGAAAGAUUGUGUUUGGAUAGAGAUAAUUUGAAAUAAACUCUUAUUGAAAGAUUGUGUUUGGAUAGAGAUAAAUGAGUUCAAUAUUGAUUCUUACUUGUUCAUUUAGGUGCUAGCUUUUGACUAAUUGAUCAAGUCAAUCACGUAUAAAAAAUAUGAUUAAAUUUCCUUUUAUUUGUCAAUUAUUUGUUUCCUUACCUUAAUUAAUAUAAGGAUACACUAAAUAUAUUAAGGUUAUAAUAACGAAAUUUUGUAUAUAUAUUUUUUGAUAAAACAAAAGCUAAUAUUAUUAAUAAAGUAGCUAGAAAUCGUUCACAAGAAACAUGCACUCAUGACAGAAAAUAUAUAGAACAUAUCACAAAUAUAUCUAAUCUGAAAAAUCAUUAGAUUUAAUAGAGUUAGAAAAUAAGAAAAAUUACAUGUUCUUAGAGAGAAAUUAAAGGAGAUAAACUUAUUAACUAAUAAAAAAACUUGUUAAGGAUCUAAAAUGAUAGAGUUCAAAUUAAAAU
rnacentral:lncRNA from 1 species